GAUGAACGCUAGCGACAGGCUUAACACAUGCAAGUCGCGGGGCAGCACGGGGGUUGUUUGCAACCGCCGAUGGCGACCGGCGCACGGGUGAGAAAUGCAUAACCAACCUGCCCUUCACCACUGGAUAACCCGGCGAGAGUCGGACUAAUACCGUAUGAUUUCCAUUGACGGCACCCGAGUGAGAGGAAAGUCUGGGGUGAGUAAGAGUGGGGUCGCGUCCGCUUAGCUUGAUGGUGGGGUAACGGCCCUACGAGGCUGCGAACGGUAGGGGGUCUGAGGGGCAGGUCCACCACACUGGAGCUGAGACACGGACCAGUAUCCUACGCGAGGCAGCGGUGAGGAACACUGGUGGAUGAGCGUAAGCCUGACCCAGCCAAGUAGCGUGCAGGAGGCCGGCCAUAUGGGUUGUAAACUGCUUUUAUGCGGGGAUUAUGUGGCUAACGUGUCGCCUUUUGACGGUACCGCAUGAAUAAGGACCGGCUAAUUCCGUG
rnacentral:rRNA from 1 species